rnacentral:rRNA from 1 species
GAUGUACGCUGGCGGCGUGCCUAAUACAUGCAAGUCGAGCGAACAGACGAGGAGCUUGCUCCUUUGAUGUUAGCGGCGGACGGGUGAGUAACACGUAGGUAACCUACCUAUAAGACUGGGAUAACUUCGGGAAACCGGAGCUAAUACCGGAUAAUAUUUCGAACCGCAUGGUUCGAUAGUGAAAGAUGGCUUUGCUAUCACUUAUAGAUGGACCUGCGCCGUAUUAGCUAGUUGGUAAGGUAACGGCUUACCAAGGCAACGAUACGUAGCCGACCUGAGAGGGUGAUCGGCCACACUGGAACUGAGACACGGUCCAGACUCCUACGGGAGGCAGCAGUAGGGAAUCUUCCGCAAUGGGCGAAAGCCUGACGGAGCAACGCCGCGUGAGUGAUGAAGGUCUUCGGAUCGUAAAACUCUGUUAUUAGGGAAGAACAAACGUGUAAGUAACUGUGCACGUCUUGACGGUACCUAAUCAGAAAGCCACGGCUAACUACGUG